CGCCCCGGUGCCGCAGGCGGUCUCCCUCAAGGACCACGAGGAGGAAAGAACCCCACCAAACCCCACCCCUCCCGCCCAGGCCGCCGCCUCACUCACGCGAGUGAACAUCGCCAACUCAGCUGGAUUCGGGAGCCCUUGCCUGCCCUACGCUCAGCGCAACCAACCGCAGACAUGCGACGGCCCUCGCCGGGACUGGCAUCCCAGUGCGAGGGCCUGACCACCGAGGAAGGCUCCAACUUCCUG
rnacentral:ncRNA from 1 species